UGGUGGAGUGAUUUGUCUGGUUAAUUCCGUUAACGAACGAGACCUCGACCUGCUAAAUAGUUUGUCGAAUGCUUCUGCAUUCGGUCGAAUCUUCUUAGAGGGACUAUCGUUGUGUAGACGAUGGAAGUUCGAGGCAAUAACA
rnacentral:rRNA from 1 species